rnacentral:rRNA from 1 species
AUGGAGGGCGGCGCGUCUCCCGUGGCUGGGACUGCGGCAGCAGCCGCACCCGCAACCGCUGCGGCUUUCCCGGCGACGUCCCUGUACGUGGGGGAUCUGGACGUGAGUGUGCAGGACGCGCAGCUCUUUGACGUCUUCAGCCAGGUCGGCUCGGUGGUGUCUGUGCGCGUGUGCCGGGACGUCAACACCAGGAUGUCCCUAGGUUACGCGUACGUCAACUUCAGCAGCCCUGCCGAUGCUGCAAGGGCAUUGGAAAUGCUGAACUUUACUCCUGUUAAUGGGAAGCCUAUAAGGAUAAUGUAUUCUAACCGUGACCCAAGCUCACGUAAAAGUGGUGCUGCAAAUAUAUUUAUCAAGAAUCUUGACAAGUCAAUAGAUAACAAAGCGCUCUAUGACACAUUUUCUGCCUUUGGAAACAUUCUUUCAUGCAAAGUUGCUACAGAAAUGUCUGGAGAAUCCAAGGGUUAUGGUUUUGUUCAGUAUGAGCAGGACGAAUCAGCACAGAAUGCUAUCAAUGAACUCAAUGGGAUGCUUUUGAAUGACAAAAAGGUUUAUGUUGGGCCUUUUGUUCGUAAACAGGAAAGGGAAAAUGUUUUUGGCAGUCCCAAGUUCAAUAAUGUCUAUGUAAAGAAUCUAUCAGAAUCUACCACUGAAGAUAAUCUGAGAGAAUUGUUUGGUAAUUUUGGACCUAUAACUAGUGUUAUUGUAGUGCGAGGCGAUGAUGGUAAAUCCAGAUGCUUUGGAUUCGUGAACUUUGAAAAUCCGGAUGAUGCUGCAUGUGCUGUUGAGGAUUUGAAUGGCAAGAAAUUUGAUGAUAAGGAAUUGUAUGUUGGUAGAGCCCAAAAGAAGUCUGAAAGGGAGAUGCAAUUGAAGGAAAAUUUUGAGAAAAGCAAUAAAGAGACAGCUGACAGGAACCAAGGCACUAACUUGUAUUUGAAAAACUUGGAUGGUAGUGUUGAUGACGAUGAGAAGUUAAAAGAACUUUUUGCUGAAUUUGGCACUAUAACUUCUUGCAAGGUUAUGCGGGAUUCAAAUGGGGUCAACAAAGGAUCUGGUUUUGUUGCAUUUAAAUCUUCUGAAGAUGCUUCACGAGCUCUUGUGGCAAUGAAUGGUAAAAUGGUUGGCGGUAAGCCUCUUUACGUAGCACUUGCGCAACGCAAGGAAGAAAGAAGAGCCAGGCUGCAGGCACAGUUUUCGCAAAUGCGUCCUGUGAUGCCACCGCCAGUUGCUCCGCGCAUGCCCAUGUACCCCCCUGGUGUUCCUGGAAUGGGCCAACAACUAUUCUAUGGCCAACCACCUCCAGCUUUUGUUAACCCACAGCCUGGAUUUGGUUUCCAGCAACAUAUGAUUCCUGGAAUGAGACCUGGUGUUGCUCCAAUGCCAAAUUUCGUCAUGCCAAUGGUGCAGCAAGGUCAGCAACCACAACGCCCAUUUGGAAGGCGCGCAGGUGCUGGUGGAAUGCAGCAGCCAAUGCCAAUGGGUCAUCAGCAGAUGGUUCCAAGGGGCGGCCGUGGUGGCUACCGUUAUCCGUCUGGCCGUGGCAUGCCUGAUGCUGCAUUCCGUGGUGUUGGAGCUAUGGUGCCAUCGCUGUAUGAGAUGGGAAGGAUGACUCCUGGUGACACUGGAGCACCGCAGCAAGUUUCUAGUGGAGCAUUAGCAUCUGCACUUGCUAACUCUCCGCCGGAGCAGCAACGACUGAUGCUUGGUGAAAGCUUGUACCCACUUGUUGAUCAGCUGGAGCAUGACCAGGCUGCCAAGGUUACUGGUGCUGCUGGAAUUUUGGAAAACGAUUUGCUUGUGCCUGGUGAAGCGACGCUGGCAUCAGUCGCCGCUACUGUUGUUGCAGGCAGCUCUAGUGAGAAUGAGGGGAGUAAGAAGGUUAACAAGAAGAAUAAGAAGAAAGGCAAUCUCCGUGGAUUCAAGUUGAGGUUUAACUCAAAACGGCUGGGUCGGCUUGGGAAGCAGUUAUCACCAGAGAAACAGAGAAUUAUAAGGAAUGGCCCAUUUGGACACUUGUUGGACAUCUAG